AAGGGAUGGGAAGGCGAGUUAGGAAGGCAGACAAUGAAGGAAAGGACACAAAAGUUGAUUUCAUAUCAAUUAUUUCAAUUAUAUUUUGCUUAGCUCUGAACCGCCGCAACCUUUCCGUACCAUUUUUUUCUUCCCCGAAAGAUACACUUGAUUAAAUGUAAUUUCUUCACAGACUAAUUAUGUAAUCAUGGAAAAAGCUGCCUCUCUUGAGAUUUCCGCGCCACGCAACUUGUGAGCAAACUCUUUCACCAUGAAGCGUACAGAGUUACAACAUAACUGCCGUUUUCGCACUUCUACAGUCACGCAGAAACAAAAGCCACAGGGUGGCGUCGAGGGAACGCGGCCAAGACUGUGCGGUGGCUUCCUUUCUUGCAGGAACCGCUCACUGCUGUGAAUGCUGACGUUUAGCAUAGAUGCUAAAACAAGACUUGUCAUGGAUGUUCCACGCCACUAUUAUGCGCCGCUAGCUAAAAUUGUUACGUUUCAUACCUUGAACUGAAUUGUAAAGCUAGUUGAAAGAUACAUGCUGUUUUGUUUUUUUGUUUUUCAAUGAACUGCACACAAUUUUAAGCUAACGUUAGCAUGCAAGUUGAUCCGCACGAAUAAGCCGCUAAAGUAGGCUGUCUUUUGUCUGCUGUAGCAUCCAAGCUAUUGUAACUUUAAGGCUUUCAUCAUGUUCAUUUUUCAUAUUUUUGAUCAUUAAUCGCACAUCUGUCAUUGAUCGCGACACAGAAAGCACUUGCGCUGGCGCAGAAAAAGGUUUUAUAUUUUUAUUUUGCAUUUUUCACCCCGACGAAACGAACCACCACGUAGAGCCUGUCGGCGUGCGUCCGGGAAUAAUCGAGUAAUUUAUUCCGUUUUGGCCCCCCUCGGGUGUCCCGCUCACAUCAAAGUGGCGGCGUGGUAUCUCGACCCGCGACGCCCUGCCCGGAGACACGGAGCACCGAGGAAAUUUGCAAUUUCACAACUCGACUCUACGCCGCUACACCUGGCAGGACUUCACUCACAUCAAGUGAUCUCCAAGUUUUGAAUAACCUUAUUGAUUUUGAGCCACGCUAAUGGAUGUUUUGGGAAGACCAAGUUGAGAGCCUGAAGACGCUAGUGAGA